AGGGAGAGAAGGGGGACAGAGGCUGGCGUGGUUUAUUCGGUGACAUUGGAAGACCUGGAACACAUGAGGGUUCUCAAGGACGCACUGGUUCAAAAGGCGAGAAAGGACUGAAAGGUGACCUGGGACAGAAAGGUGGAAAGGGUUCCACUGGAAAGCCUGGUCUCCAUGGACAGAAGGGUGACCGAGGACUAAAAGGAUACACUGGAUUACAAGGACUGGAUGGACCUAGGGGAACUCCCGGGCAUAGAGGGACAAUGG